AUCACCUGGGGAUCUUGUUGAAAUGCUGAUUCUGCUCCAGCAGAUCUGGAGUGGAGCCUAAGCAUCUGCAUUUCCAACAAGCUCCCAAGAGAUGCAGA
rnacentral:pre_miRNA from 1 species